rnacentral:sRNA from 1 species
GCGUGUGGGGCUGCGCGUGAGUGCAUGCGUGUGAGCUUGUGCUUGUGCCUGUGUGCUGGGCACGACUGUGCGCGCCGGUGCUCACCUGUCUCUGCACGGGCACAUGCACACACUGCCUUGUGGAGGCGCUUCGGCGUUAGGGAUCCCUGUGCUUCUGUGUACCUGGGUUUCUUUGCAUGGGGGGGACACAUCCCCUAGGCAGCAUCAUGGGCAUGUCGUGAGUGACAGACGCAUAUCUAAGUUAGCAUGCAAGAUUAGAAGCACAAGGGCGUCCUGGAGGAGUCUGAAGUGCGCUUCUAACCGGAUUCACAUGUUUUUCCACGCGCCGCUGAACAGAAUGUACCUUUGUGUCAGCAUGAGCUGAAAAGGGAAACGCAGCCUCUGGAGCUGGAGUGGGACUGUGUGGAAUUCUGGAACAUUUCUCACGCUCAACCACAGCCUGUUGAAGCUGGGAAGCGCUUUGGAUAUUUUUCAGUCCAGCCCUUUGUCUAACAAAUGAGGAAACUGAGGCCCCCCAAAAAAGAGGCUAAGCUUGCUAUCGCAAGUGCUCUGUACUUUCCCUACUUAAUCCUCUCAAUCGUUUGAGGCAGGUGAUAGUAAAUCCCUUUUACAGACAAGAAAAGUGAGGCCUGUCGCACCAGAAGAAAAAGGUAUCAGCAGGGAUUUCCGCCCACUCUGCCCAGCUUCAACGUUCACGGUCGUCCUUCCAUGCACGGCUCUUCCAAGUGUAGCCCUGGGAGCCCGGGGGUCCUUGAGAACCUUUCAGGAAGUCUCUGAGGAACCCAAGACCUUCACUUGGUUGGUGUGAGCACUCCAGGAGGCAGGCACCCUCCCUCAGCCCUCAAGCAAGCAAAAAUGGGUUUAAAAAAGAAGGAGAAGAAGCAGCAGCAGCAGCCGCCACAGAGCUUGUGACAGCUGCAGCCUAAGGGCAACAGGCAGGGGAGACCAAGGACCAGAAAGAGCAGAGGCUUUUUCAAAGAAAGAGACCCCUCUCCCAGCACCCAGCGAUGGCGG